rnacentral:rRNA from 1 species
GGGUCAGUAGGUUGGUCGUGCCACCGGUACGUACUGGUCUCACUGAUUCCUCCUUCCUGAAGAACCGUAAUGCCAUUAAUUUGGUGUUGCGGGGAAACAGGACUGUUACUUUGAAAAAAUUAGAGUGUUUAAAGCAAGCUAACGCUUGAAUACAUUAGCAUGGAAUAAUGAAAUAGGACGAUCGAUCCUAUUUUGUUGGUUUCUAGGAUUGACGUAAUGAUUAAUAGGGCUUGUUGGG